AUUGAACGCUGGCGGCAGGCUUAACACAUGCAAGUCGAGCGGAGAUGAGGUGCUUGCACCUUAUCUUAGCGGCGGACGGGUGAGUAAUGCUUAGGAAUCUGCCUAUUAGUGGGGGACAACAUUCCGAAAGGAAUGCUAAUACCGCAUACGUCCUACGGGAGAAAGCAGGGGAUCUUCGGACCUUGCGCUAAUAGAUGAGCCUAAGUCGGAUUAGCUAGUUGGUGGGGUAAAGGCCUACCAAGGCGACGAUCUGUAGCGGGUCUGAGAGGAUGAGCCGCCACACUGGGACUGAGACACGGCCCAGAGUCCUACGGGAGGCAGCAGUGGGGAAUAUUGAACAAUGGGGUAAACCCUGAUCCAGCCAUGCCGCGUGUGUGAAGAAGGCCUUAUGGUUGUAAAGCACUUUAAGCGAGGAGGAGGCUACUGAGACUAAUACUCUUGGAUAGUGGACGUUACUCGCAGAAUAAGCACCGGCUAACUCUGUGCCAGCCGCCGCCGUAA
rnacentral:rRNA from 1 species